rnacentral:rRNA from 1 species
GUAGGUGGCAAGCGUUGUCCGGAAUUAUUGGGCGUAAAGCGCGCGCAGGCGGGGUCCUUUAAGUCUGAUGUGAAAGCCCACGGGCUCAACCGUGGAGGGUCAUUGGAAACUGGGGGACUUGAGUACAGAAGAGGAAAGCGGAGUUCCAAGUGUAGCGGUGAAAUGCGUAGAGAUUUGGAGGAACACCAGUGGCGAAGGCGGCUUUCUGGUCUGUAACUGACGCUGAGGCGCGAAAGCGUGGGGAGCAAACAGGAUUAGAUACCCUGGUAGUCCACGCCGUAAACGAUGAGUGCUAAGUGUUAGGGGGUUUCCGCCCCUUAGUGCUGCAGCUAACGCAUUAAGCACUCCGCCUGGGGAGUACGGCCGCAAAGGCUG